AGGCUGGUCUACACUGUAACAAGCCAAUGAGGCGUUAACAACGACAUGUACCAACUUCUUGUAAUUAGACCACACUCUGGCAGUUUAACACACUUCAUACUAGUUAAGCAUACAGACUCCGCCCUGCUUUAUAUCAAAUCAAAUCAAACUUUAUUUAUAGGGCGCAUUUAAUACCAGGAUGUAACACAAUGCGCUUCACAGAAGGAGGGAGGGGACAGAUGAUAGGCGAGAUUAAAGAGGUAACCAGUGCAAUGUCUGGUGUGAUGUGCGCCCUCCUCGAUAUUACGACGCUUCUCCCAAAUCUUCUGGUCUAUGGCACAACCACCCAUCAAGCGCAGCACAAUGAGGGUCAGGACCUUCUUCUGUGCUGCACCCAGGCUUUGGAACUCCCUUCCCCCUCACAUCUGCAUACUGGACUCCAUCACAGAAUUCAAAGCUGCAAGUUUAAAGUCCCUCUCCUAGCAUUGAUUUUUGAUGAAAAAAAAAAUCUGACCUUAAUGACCUGAAAAUGGCUAGGAUGUAGCUCUAUACCUUUGCCUCAUUUAGAAUUUGUGGAUCUGUAAAUACAAUGCAAAUUGGGCCGACCUCUAUCUGCCCUCGGCUUAUGAAACUGCUAAUGAUGUGUUGCUAAUGUUAGAUCAACUCGCCAGCUUUAACUUACCAUCUAGUCCAUCAUAAAUAAUAUUGUACUUUAUGUAUAUGUAUACUGGCGUUACCCCUGUCUCCUGACUGGCAAGUUGAUGGGAUUGAUUCCUUAAGUUUGUGUCAUAAGAAAACCCAGGCUGUCUGAUUUCGUGUUUUUGAGACUGUUAUUGGUACACUGCAGUUUCAAUGUUGAAGUACUCAUCAGAAACAAAAAAUAUUUAUCGUGCAUAGGGCCAAGGUAAUUACAUACUGACCUACUUACUUAUUUACUUUUGCAUGUACAUUUUA